rnacentral:rRNA from 1 species
AGUAAUGCUUGGGAAUAUGCCUUAUGUGGGGGACAACAGUUGGAAACGACUGCUAAUACCGCAUAACGUCUACGGACCAAAGGGGGGGAUCUUCGGACCUCUCGCCAUUUGAUCAGCCCAAGUGAGAUUAGCUAGUUGGUGAGGUAAUGGCUCACCAAGGCGACGAUCUCUAGCUGGUUUGAGAGGAUGAUCAGCCUCACUGGGACUGAGACACGGCCCAG